AGCGAACGCUGGCGGCAGGCCUAACACAUGCAAGUCGAACGGAACCUUCGGGAUUAGUGGCGGACGGGUGAGUAACACGUGGGAACGUGCCCUUUGGUUCGGAACAACUCAGGGAAACUUGAGCUAAUACCGGAUGUGCCCUUCGGGGGAAAGAUUUAUCGCCAUUGAAGCGGCCCGCGUCUGAUUAGCUAGUUGGUGAGGUAACGGCCCACCAAGGCGACGAUCAGUAGCUGGUCUGAGAGGCUGAUCAGCCACACUGGGACUGAGACACGGCCCAGACUCCUACGGGAAGCAGCAGUGGGGAAUCUUGCGCAAUGGGCGAAAGCCUGACGCAGCCAUGCCGCGUGAAUGAUGAAGGUCUUAGGAUUGUAAAAUUCUUUCAGCGGGGACGAUAAUGACGGUACCCGCAGAAGAAGCUCCGGCUAACUUCGUG
rnacentral:rRNA from 1 species